CGUCUAAGGUGGGGCCGAUGAUUGGGGUGAAGUCGUAACAAGGUAGCCGUAUCGGAAGGUGCGGCUGGAUCACCUCCUUUCUAAGGAGA
rnacentral:rRNA from 1 species